UGUUGGCUGCUGAUGUACCUGUUUGGACACUCUGGGCUCCUCCUCGAUAUACUUCUGCUCGAUGGGAAUCAACGUCCUGAGACCAGCCUUCACCUGGAGCAUGGAGUGAACACAGACAGUGUCAUAAACAGCAAAUGGAGGGCCACAGUGGCGACAGAAAAAGAGUCGAUGCUGACGGGAGAGCAGGACUGAGAUGCCGAGUGUGGGAGAGAGAAGGAGGCAGGAAAAGAGAAAAACCAUGGGCUAUUUGGAUUGGGAAUCCACAUCCUCUCUGCCAGAGCACAGCGGGAACAAGAUCAUGCACAGAGAUGUUCGGAGGCUGAAAGUCUUAUAAGAGAUGCUAACGUUCAGUUUAAGAACUAAUACAGCCUUGCACAUGGUUCAACUUUUGUAAGCCCUUUGGAAGAAGAAAAAUGUUUGAAGUGCCAAAAUAAGCAUUUUGCCUAGUGGUAAAAGUUAGAGAGACCUGAA